GAUGAAGAACGUAGCGAAAUGCGAUAAGUAAUGUGAAUUGCAGAAUCCAGUGAAUCAUCGAAUCUUUGAACGCACAUUGCGCCCGCCAGCAUUCUGGCGGGCAUGCCUGUUCGAGCGUCAUUUCAACCAUCAAGCCCCCGGCUUGUGUUGGGGACCUGCGGCUGCCGCAGGCCCUGAAAAGCAGUGGCGGGCUCGCUGUCACACCGAGCGUAGUAGCAUACAUCUCGCUCUGGGCGUGCUGCGGGUUCCGGCCGUUAAACCACCUUCAUAACCCAAGGUUGACCUCGGAUCAGGUAGGAAGACCCGCUGAACUUAAGCAUAUCAAUAAGCGGAGGA
rnacentral:misc_RNA from 1 species